rnacentral:rRNA from 1 species
GAUGAACGCUGGCGGCGUGCCUAAUACAUGCAAGUCGAGCGAAGCGGGGACGGGUGAGUAACACGUAGAUAACCUCCUAUAAGACUGGGAUAACUUCUGGAAACCGGAGCUAAACCGGAUACUUCUAACUUGAUCCGCUCUGCAUUAGCUAGUUGGUAAGGUAACGGCUUACAAAGGCAACGAGGCAUAGCCGACCUGAGAGGGUGAGCGGCCACACUGGAACGGAGACACGGGCCAGACUCCUACGUGAGGCAGCAGUAGGGAAUCUUCCGCAAUGGGCGAAAGCCUGACGGAGCAAUGCCGCGUGAGUGAUGAAGGUCUUCGGAUCGUAAAACGCUGUUAUCAGGGAAGCGGUACCUAACCAGAAAGCCACGGCUAACUACGUGCCAGCAGCCGCGGUAAUAC